AGCGAACGCUGGCGGCAGGCCUAACACAUGCAAGUCGAGCGGCCGUAGCAAUACGGCAGCGGCAGACGGGAGAGUAACACGUGGGAACGCGCCCUUUGGUUCGGAAUAACUCAGGGAAACUUGAGCUAAUACCGGAUAAGCCCUAACGGGGAAAGAUUUAUCGCCGAAGGAACGGCCCGCGUCCGAUUAGCUAGUUGGUGAGGUAAUGGCUCACCAAGGCGACGAUCGGUAGCUGGUCUGAGAGGAUGACCAGCCUCACUGGGACUGAGACACGGCCCAGACUCCUACGGGAGGCAGCAGUGGGGAAUAUUGGACAAUGGGCGCAAGCCUGAUCCAGCCAUGCCGCGUGAGUGAUGAAGGCCUUAGGGUUGUAAAGCUCUUUUAGCAGGGAAGAUAAUGACGGUACCUGCAGAAAAAGCCCCGGCUAACUUCGUGCCAGCCGCCGCUGUAACAC
rnacentral:rRNA from 1 species